rnacentral:pre_miRNA from 1 species
AAACAGCCCCCUAUGUUUUGAUUCUUUGGCAGUUUUAGACCCCAAGGCAAAAAAAAAAAAAUAUAUAUAUAUAUAUAUAUAUAUAUUGACACGUGGCACCUCACUUAGGGUGCCACGUCAGCGUUGACCGAGUCAACAAUGGACUGGGGGUCCAAAACUGCCAAAGAAUCAAAACAUAGGGGGUUGUUU